GAUUAACGCUAGCGGCAGGCCUAAUACAUGCAAGUCGAACGGCAGCACGGGUAGCAAUACCUGGUGGCGAGUGGCGCACGGGUGCGUAACGCGUAUGCAAUCUACCUAUAACUGGGGAAUAGCCUUCCGAAAGGAAGAUUAAUACCGCAUAAUAUCACGAAGCGGCAUCGUUUUGUGAUCAAAACUCCGGUGGUUAUAGAUGAGCAUGCGUGACAUAGCUAGUUGGUGAGGUAACGGCUCACCAAGGCUACGAUGUCUAGGGGGUCUGAGAGGAUGAUCCCCCACACUGGUACUGAGACACGGACCAGACUCCUACGGGAGGCAGCAGUAAGGAAUAUUGGACAA
rnacentral:rRNA from 1 species